rnacentral:rRNA from 1 species
GACGAACCGUGCGAACGUUAUUCGGAAUCACUGGGCUUAAAGGGCGCGUAGGCGGGUUGCCAAGUCUGUGGUGAAAUCCUCCAGCUUAACUGGAGAACGGCCGUGGAUACUGGCGACCUCGAGGGGGGUAGGGGCUUGCGGAACUGUGCGUGGAGCGGUGAAAUGCGUUGAUAUGCACAGGAACUCCGGUGGCGAAGGCGGCGAGCUGGACCCUUUCUGACGCUGAGGAGCGAAAGCGUGGGGAGCAAACAGG